GGUGGCUCAGUGCUAGAGUGCUUGCCUCGCAUGCAUGAGGUCCUGGGUUCGAUUCCUCAGCACCA
rnacentral:tRNA from 1 species